ACAUGCACGUCGACCGCUGGCGGACUUCUUGCUGGUGGCAAGUGGCGGCGGGUGAGUGAUGUAUCGGAACGUGCCCUGUCCCGGGGGAGACUUCACUCCAGCGUACCUGAUACCGCACCCGCCCUACUUUGGAAACCCGGGGAUCUUCAUACCUUGGCCUAUUGGACCGGCCGAUAUCGAAUUACCUACUUGGUGGGGUAACGGCCUACCAAGGCCACCAUCCCUAGGUGGUUUGACAGGACCACCCUCCACGGUGGAACUGACACACUGCCCCUACUCCUACGGGAGGACUCCUUGGGGAAUUUUGGACAAUGGGGGAAACCCUGAGCCAGACAUCCCGCGUGAGCAACGACGGCCUUCUGAUUAAAGCUUUCUUUUGGCAAGAAUCAAUUGUCACGGACUAAUACCUCCCAAAUCUGACGGCUCCUGCCUAAUCAGCACCUGAUCACUACGUGCCAGCUACCUCGGUACUACCUACGGUGCAAGCGUUUAUCUGAAUUACUGGGCGUAAAGUUUGCGCACGUGAUUCGCAAGCAGGUAUGUUCUAUCGUAUAACGUAACUUUGCAACUGCCUUUCUAACUGGGGGCUAGAGAGUGUCAGACGGAGGUGCAAAUCCGCGUAUUGCAGUUACAUGUGUAGAUAUGAAGAGGAACAACGUUUGCAAAAGCACCCUCGUGGGAUGACACUGACGCUUCUGCACCAGAGCCUGGGGAGCAAACGCGAGUGGAGCCCCUGGGAGUCCAUGCCCUGGACGAUCUCAACUAACUGGUAGGGAGUCCUCAGUGCUUGAUAGCGUACCCUCACUGUGUUGACUGUAGACCGACUGAGGAGUCACGUCCGCCAGAUUAAUACUCACAGCGAAGUCUACAGCUACCCGCACUUGCCGGGGGAUCCAUGCUCGAUCAUGCGAUGCGUCGCUUAAAUCGUAGCUACCCGUGACUGUCUCGGAGUGCUGACUACAUCUGACAAUGCUCGCAA
rnacentral:rRNA from 1 species